rnacentral:rRNA from 1 species
AUGGUAAUCACACAUGCUGUGUUAAUAUCUGUCCUGGCAUAUUUCAGCGCACAAAUUUGCACCAGCCCUUCUUUGCAUGCAGUUGCAGCUCAGCUACCGAAUCAGAUAUCGAAGGCGAGAUCAGGGCACAGCUUCAUCGUUGGGCCUCCCUGCAUACACUGCAACAGAGGAAACAGCAGAGCCAUUCAGCAUUAUUUAUUUAUUUCAAAGAAAAGGCCAGUAUUACACCUUGAUAUCAAUGCGUGCAGACUGGCCGGUAGAGAAGAGAGCAGGGAGAUAAGGGAGAAGGCGUCGCCUUCAGGUUUGCGAUGA